CACUGCUGCUGAAGAUCUUUGUGUUCUGUCCUAUUGUGUGUGCUUGCAACUCUCGGUGCCCGUGCUACUGCUCAAAGUAGAGUCAAAUAAAAACAACAAUUCGAAGCGAGCGGUAGUGCGGGCGCAGCUGAUGGAUUGAUUAUCCUGGCCUCAGCUGCGUAAAACACCGAAGUUUUUCAACGUGCCUAAAUUAAGGACUUUUUCUUUGGGCCGUUCGAGAACCCGGUGCCCGGUUCUCCCGACUUUCGCCGUUCGCAACAUUGAAAAACUUCGGCGAACAUUGCGAAAUCGGUGCCCACAGAACCACGGAGCAGGUUGCAGAUGUGCGUGGCAGCCGAAAUCAAUUCCUUCCAGACGUAGCAACGGUGAAGUCAGCUGAUCGAAGGAAACCGAUGGCGGACGAUGAGGCGUCCAAAAUGGAGUUCAACGGGCAGGACUGCACGUCACUCAAGCCGCUUCUUCUAAUCCGUCAUCUCCACGUAAGCAGCUUACACACGGAAGCCCGGCGGAGGAACGUUUCGGGACUGUGUUCACGGCCGACAGCUAGCGGGUCUGCGCUGCGCCGAAUGUGGUUCGUGUGGGAUCCGUCAAGGUGCAUUCGUCAUGAAUAGGAGCGAGGGAGCAGACACUGGCGGCGGAAAUAGCAGAGCAACUAAAGAGCGACAUAAUGGACGUCGCUAGUAAGUUCAACUCAUGCAACGACGACCCAGUUCAGCAGCUCCGGAACGCGCCACUGGUAGUUGCGAAAAACUCCAACUUCAACGAAGCAGGAGUGUUACGGGGGGGAGUGUUGCGUAUAAACGCAGAGUGACGCGCCCCUCGGACACUGCUGCUGAAGAUCUUUGUGUUCUGUCCUAUUGUGUGUGCUUGCAACUCUCGGUGCCCGUGCUACUGCUCAAAGUAGAGUCAAAUAAAAACAACAAUUCGAAGCGAGCGGUAGUGCGGGCGCAGCUGAUGGAUUGAUUAUCCUGGCCUCAGCUGCGUAAAACACCGAAGUUUUUCAACGUGCCUAAAUUAAGGACUUUUUCUUUGGGCCGUUCGAGAACCCGGUGCCCGGUUCUCCCGACUUUCGCCG